ensembl:Mt_tRNA
ACUUUUAAAGGAUAUUAGUAAUCCAUUGGUCUUAGGAACCAAAAACCUAGGUGCAACUCCAAGUAAAAGUA